GGCAACUCGCAUGUUGUUUAAUUCCUUCAAAAUUUACAGAUUUCUUGGUAAGGCAGUGGCAGUUUAUACCACGAUUGAUUACAAGAUGUAUCUUUUACAGCUAAUUUAAAAAGAAGCUGGGUUUAUAUACCUAAUAAAGAGGUUUUUAUACAAAGUGGUUGAAACAAAACGAAGCAAGAACGUAACGAUGAGCAACAAAAGGGACAAGAGCCAUCCGCGCCUCCUGCCUCAGGUGUUGAGAGCAGUCGCGGAACUGAAAGAUAUAAACGGAUCUACGGCGAAAAAGAUCGUAUCUCGCGUUAACGAAUUGAUAAAACGUUGCAGAACGUCGGGUCCUAAGCCUAGAAACGUGACCAUGCAAGUUCGCAAAGCUCUGCACCACGGAAUAGAAAAUGGGCUUCUAAAGUAUAGAGGAGGUCGGUACAAGCUCGUAUUUGGAGGAAAAUCAAGGAAUACAAGAACGAUGGCUACAAGACGAACUGCUGCUGCUCCUGCUCCUCGUCGACGUCAGGCAAAUGCUUCGAAAGGUAGAACUCGGAAGAGAACUACCCGACCCAAAGCGGUCCAGAGGAAAAAGCGGAAACGCAGUAGCUCAAGUUCGAAAAGUUCAAGCAGUGAAGAUAAUACAACUAGCGGAGACGGUAACGAAACCACCGAUUCUGCUAGCAGCAUGACCGUCAGUGGAUCGUCUGCAUCUUCGAGUAUGAACACCAGUGACGCUAGAGAUUCGACUUCACAAUCAGUCGAAAGCUUUACGGUAGAAUCAAAGAAAGAUGAUAAAAACAAUAAGUCAUCCGGUGCAAAACUAAGAAAAACACGGUGGGAAUGCCAACUUCACUUUGGUGUCUAAUAAAGGAAAGAUGCGGACUGUCUACUCAACGUGGUGUGCGAACAAAAGAAACCACCACCAACAAAAAAACAGCCAAAAAACCUCUUCGUCGUAAUAAACAUAAGAAACAUAAAGCUCGUCCUCAACAGCAAACAUUGGAGAAUUCGCACAACAGCAACACCAAUGCCGCCGCAGCGGAGGUUCCAGAAGAGAGAAUAGCCCGCUGUGACAAUCCUAAUUGCCUUUGCAAUGUGGAUGUAUUUACUGAUGAUACCGUUUACGAUAGUACUAAACAUUCGCACGAUGUGCAGAACAUCUCGUAUAUUAAUUGACCCUCUAAACGACCACCGUCAUCGGUUGGUUGUUUAUACAUAUGUAAAUUUUUGCCUGUGGAGCGUGCCCGUCUUGAGAGUCGUUUUAUGUCAAUGUUUUCUAUUAUUUACCGAAUGGCUUUUACUCUUUUUACAAAUUAAAUUAUAUUAAAACAUU
rnacentral:misc_RNA from 1 species